rnacentral:rRNA from 1 species
UACGUAGGGUGCAAGCGUUGUCCGGAAUUAUUGGGCGUAAAGGGCGCGUAGGCGGCGCACCAAGUCAGGCGUGAAAGCCCUGGGCUCAACCCGGGAAUUGCGCUUGAGACUGGUGUGCUUGAGUACGGGAGAGGAUAGUGGAAUUCCCAGUGUAGAGGUGAAAUUCGUAGAUAUUGGGAAGAACACCGGUGGCGAAGGCGGCUAUCUGGACCGUAACUGACGCUGAGGCGCGAAAGCGUGGGGAGCAAACAGG